AUCUCUUAGAAAUAAUUAAGAGUCAGCCCUGCCCCCUGCUCUGUAAAGGGCCGCGGUAUUUUGACUGUGCAAAGGUAGCAUAAUAAUUAGUCUUAUAAUUGAAGACUGGAAUGAAAGGGUCAACCUGGAAGGACCUCUCUCAAGCAUACAACUUGAAUUUUACUUUUUAGUAAAAAGGCUAAAAUAAUUCUCUUAGACAAGAAGACCCUAUAAAGCUUAACAAAUCUUAAGCCUAUUCAAGCUUAACAUUGUUUGGCUGGGGCGGCAAAGGAACAAACAUCCUUAAAACUUAAUAAACCAUUAUAAUAUCUGGAACUUCCAAAAAUAAAACAAGUUACUUUAGGGAUAACAGCGUUAUAUAUCUAGAAAGAUCAAAUUGACAGAUAUGUUUGCGACCUCGAUGUUGGAUUAAGAAACCUUCAUUAUGCAAAAGUAAUUAAAGGAGGUCUGUUCGACCUUUAAAAUCCUCCA
rnacentral:rRNA from 1 species